rnacentral:rRNA from 1 species
UACGUAGGGUGCAAGCGUUAAUCGGAAUUACUGGGCGUAAAGGGCUCGUAGGCGGCCAACUAAGUCGGAUGUGAAAUCCCCAGGCUUAACCUGGGAACUGCAUCCGAUACUGGAUGGCUUGAAUCCGGGAGAGGGAUGCAGAAUUCCAGGUGUAGCGGUGAAAUGCGUAGAUAUCUGGAGGAAUACCGGUGGCGAAGGCGGCAUCCUGGACCGGCAUUGACGCUGAGUGAGCGAAAGCCAGGGGAGCAAACGGG